CGAGCGCCGGUGCACGCAGAGCAGCUUUGCCAGCCGCAUCAACACCACCAACCAUCGACGCAGUCCGCGCACGUCAGCACGCCGCGGUGCGUCUCUCUCGGAAAGAGGCCGCUUAGUAUUUCGGAUCUUCUCACGCACGCAGCACGGGAAACAGAAAGAAACGAGAGAGCCGCACCCACGCACCCCCCCCCUCCCUCCUCCUCCUCCUCCUCCUCUCCCCACAGCGACAAGGACAACGAGCCAACACGCCCAAGGCACCUUAGAAUCGUACGCGCUCUCUGUGUAGCAACACAGCUACAACUCCUUCUUGACACGUCUCACACACGCACACACGCACGCAGACGGAACGGAAAACGCAACUCUUCGCCCUCUUCGCUUCCUCCUCCUUCUCUCUGUGUGUGGGUGUUCCUCUCGUGGCCGCUGUUGGACGUGAGCCCCUUCACCUUUUUUAUACCCGUGCACCUUUGCGGUUGGCGGGCCACAUCGAGGAAAGGGCCUUGUAUGUCUUGGUGCGUGCGUGCUGCCUGCGUCACACGGUCGCAUGUAUCGGGCCUCAUCCUUCUCUUGCCCGAUUGUGUAGUGCAGCUCCUUUCACGGACCUUGCUUUGCGUGCAGUCGGUUCUGUGCGGGGGGCUAAGGCCGUAACUGUCUUUUAGUUGCUCUUCCCCACUGCUACCCCUUCCGUGGAGUGGUCUAGGUGCCUUCUACAGCCGCUUGCCCGCUAUUUUUCUUGCUGUGUCUCACUGCACGUGCCAGGGCCGCCGCCUUCGGACCUCUAACCCUCGCGCUAGGAGCUGUUUUACGUGUCCUUUUCGUUGCCCGCCGGUACCUGCUUUUGCCACAACGUCGCAAUGGAUCUGGCGGAGAAGCGGAAGCAGCUGGAGGCCCUUCGCGCCGCCCGGCAAGCGAAGCAGCAGGUAGUGGAGCAGUACAUCUCUGGCCGUUCCUCAAACCCGGGUGGCAGCCCAACGUCCUCGACGUCCUUGUCGAGGAGUACCCUUGCUUUGGCACCUCCUGCCAUUGCUUCUGCGGGCGACUCAGCGGCAGCGACAGGCACCUCGACUUCGCCAAGCUCGGCACUGCCACCGCCGCUUCGUAGCCGCAGCGGUGGGGGGCGGCUGUCUGUAUCGUCGACUCGCGGCACCGCUGCCACCGCCAAAGCCGCCGCCCCUUCUGCGGCCUCAUCGCCUGUCACGUCGGCCUCGCCGACCACCCCGACGGCGCAGAAGGCGCGCCCGACAACUCCGAGUAGGCAGUCCGCUCCCUCACAGGCGCAAGAUGCCGCCGCCGCCGAUGGGGGCGCCGCACCUCGAUCGAUUCACCUGGUGUCAUUCAACAAGGAGAGCACGGCGGCGCACGCUGCCGUGGCCGGCUUCUCUGCCGCUUCUCCAAACGCGCACCCUGUUGUCGGGUCGCUUUAUGGAUCAGCUCUGCCGCCGGUUACCUCAAGGGCCGCCGCCGCGCCUCCAACAGAGGAAGGACUGGCCGCUUAUGGGGGCUGGGGCUUCCUGCGAAAGUGUAUGCGUGUCUCAGCGCGGGAUGCCACCGGGGCUGCGGUGACGCAACCCGUCUGCAUCUUCAACCCUUCUGUGCUGCUCGGUGAUGUAGCCGGGUCAGUCGAGAGUAGCCGCCGACGCGUCAUCUUGGACUCCACCUCGUGCCUCGUGCCCUACGACGGCGCGGCUGCCGGCCAGCGACUCGGCGAUGCUGCCAUGAUGACCUCGCCUACGGUGUGGUCGGUGUGCGUGGCAGCGGCCUACGGAUCGUGCGACUCUCCCGCUGUAACGGUUGGCGGCAAUGGCGGUGAGCUUUCCGUGAACACGCGCUGCCAUGGUAACACCGACCUGGCAGGGCCGGACAAUCGCACGGGCGCCAGCGCGCUCGACCCGCUGUUCAUGCUCAGCCCCGGUGGCACCUCUGUCGGGAUGUCUCAGCAGCGCACCGGUGCGGCUGCCAGGCCGGCGACCGGUGCCGCUGCCGCUGCGGCUGCUGCGAGGGUGCGUGCCUCCAUGGAUUGCGGGUAUCCGUGGGGCUCCGCCUCCGCCGCACCGUCGGCUGUGCCGGGCACCACGACAGAGUCGGCUCUGAAGGUGGCGAAGGAGUCACCAGGACUUGUGCUGGCGUGGUUCCUCGUGCCUCUGCCUGCCAACACGAUGCCCCGAAAGGAGGGCUCCUUUGCCGGGGCUGCAGCGGCUCCUGGUGGUGGGUUCGUGGGCUGCGUCAGCGGCAACAUAACGACGACGCCUGAGCACGUUGUGAUUGUGCUCCCUCUCGUGUGCGACUCGGAGGUGACGACACUGCUCGCCCAUCCAUUGCAGCCGUCGACGCUGCUCGGUGGAACCCGGUGUGGCCGGAUCGUGCAGUGGUCGAUUGGGCAGGCAUGGGCACAGAUCGAACCGCGCCGGCUACUGGAGCGGGCGCUGGCGACGACGGGCACCACGACGACUCUGCUACUUCCGCCACAGCGACCGGCCCACUCAUCGUUUCCGUCGCCGCAGGCACAUCAAGCGCCGGUGUUGCGCAUGGCCGUUCACGGCGACGCCAGCUGCCACCACCUUUACUCCAUCAGCCAAGAGGGCAAGGUGUGCACGUGGACGGCGUCGCAGCCACUGCACCCAACGGCGUCCUGCCUGUCAUACCUCGGCAUUCGGCCGAUGGGCUGUAUCGGGGUGACGGCGCAGUUCGUGGAGCGGGCCGGCACGGACGCCAUGACAAAGGUUUUCAUUGGCACCACCUCGGGUGCGCUCCUCGUCGGCGCGAACAGGGACGCGAAGUCGAUCGAGCUCCAGUACUACGGCCCGCCACGCGCGCUGCCAACUUCAUCGACUGUUAUUAGGACACUCGACAUCACCGCCACGUCAGCCUACCCGAACGGUGCAGCAGCAGCCUCUACCGCUUCGUUCCGUGACGGCGCAGGGGCCACCGCGUCGACUUGUUUGACAGCCUCGCUCGAGCACCCCGCGGGCGCUGAGGCUUCUGCUGCUCCUGAGCAGAGCGGUCACCACCUCACCGCGAUGUCCUCGCCAUCACCAGCGGCUGCCGCGGUGGCGCGCCGUGUUCAGGCUGCGGCACUGCAGCCACACCGAGGUCGCAUCGUCUCGAUGGCUUUGCAAACGGCGACCCACGGCCUGCGGGGUCGUGACUGUAUCGUGUCGGCGGCGACGGACGGCAGCUGCGUCGCCUGGUUUGACCGCUCUGUCAUCCCUCUCGAAGGCUUCUCCUCGGCCGUAACGAGCGUCUGCUGGUCGCCGACGAAGCAUGGCGUUCUCGCUGCCGGUGACGCCAGUGGACUGGUUACCGUGUGGGCUGUGAACACGAGCAUCAUUACGCCUGUGGUGACCGUGUCGCUGCGUGAAGCGGGCCACCGCGCUUGCGGCAACGCGUCAUCAGACGGGGUGCUGUGGGUGGUGCCAGGGACGAGCGACGCAGCUGCUGGAGCUGGCGACGGCACCGCCGGUGGUGGUACCUUAGGCUUUGGGGGUGACGACGAUGAGGCCGAUGCUGUCGACGGAGAGGAGGUGGGUGCCUCGCUGGGUGAGGCUGACGUGGUCGGCUCCGCCAUCUCCUCUGUCUUCUUCUCUCGCGACGGGCAGUGGCUGUUCGCGAGUACGGCGAGAGGCUACGUGCACACACUGCACUUGGGCACUUCACUGGUGUAGUGCUGCUGAGAUGAGGAGGAGGGGAGGGGCAGGUGGCGAAAGGCGCACGGGGAGUGACGGAAACGCCCCCCUCUUCCCUCAGGCAUACGCACGCGCCCUCUUCAGCUGAUGUACAACACACAGCCUACAGAGGCCAAUGACGGUGUAGAGCCAGAAAGAACUACUGACCCAGGCAGAUGAUGGUAAAGUGCCCACCUCAUUGGAAAAAAUGCUGCUGCCGACAGGCUGCUGACACCCCGCCAACCCGUGGCUCUCCUUCUUGUGCUUCCGAAUCUCCGCGGGGUGGUGAGGCGAGAAUUCAGAGGUCGCUCGCACCCUGCUGGGCCUUGUACGAACUGGGCAAGUGGCCGCCGUUCAGAAAACGCGUCAUGCCGUCUCCUGACGACACAGGGGCAGGGCCGCGAUGUGUACGCUCUCAUGAUCCGAAAACUCACCCCCUCCUUGCCUGCAUGGCCUCUUGGGUUUAUCCUCUCGUCUGCUCGCACGGCAUGGCAGCUGCAAUGCACACACACGCCCCUCUCGCUCCCUGCACUCUCUCCUCCCCUCUCUUCCUGCAG
rnacentral:misc_RNA from 1 species